CAACCUGAGAGUUUGAUUCUGGCUCAGAACGAACGCUGGCGGCAGGCUUAACACAUGCAAGUCGAACGCCCCCUUCGGGGGGAGU
rnacentral:rRNA from 1 species